rnacentral:misc_RNA from 1 species
GAUGAAGAACGCAGCGAAAUGCGAUAAGUAAUGUGAAUUGCAGAAUUCAGUGAAUCAUCGAAUCUUUGAACGCACAUUGCGCCCGCCAGUAUUCUGGCGGGCAUGUCUGUUCGAGCGUCAUUUCAACCAUCAAGCCCCGGGCUUGUGUUGGGGACCUGCGGCUGCCGCAGGCCCUGAAAUGCAGUGGCGGGCUCGCUGUCACUCCGAGCGUAGUAAUACAUCUCGCUCUGGACGUGCUGCGGGUUCCGGCCGUUAAAAGCCUUAUUUACCCAAGGUUGACCUCGGAUCAGGUAGGAAGACCCGCUGAACUUAAGCAUAUCAAUAAGCGGAGGA